rnacentral:rRNA from 1 species
UGGGAACGCGAAGAACCUUACCUAGACUUGACAUCUCCUGAAUUACUCUGUAAUGGAGGAAGCCACUUCGGUGGCAGGAAGACAGGUGGUGCAUGGUUGUCGUCAGCUCGUGUCGUGAGAUGUUGGGUUAAGUCCCGCAACGAGCGCAACCCUUAUUGUUAGUUGCUACCAUUUAGUUGAGCACUCUAGCGAGACUGCCCGGGUUAACCGGGAGGAAGGUGGGGAUGACGUCAAAUCAUCAUGCCCCUUAUGUCUAGGGCUACACACGUGCUACAAUGGUCGGUACAAUGAGAUGCAACCUCGCGAGAGUGAGCAAAACUAUAAAACCGAUCUCAGUUCGGAUUGUAGGCUGAAACUCGCCUACAUGAAGCUGGAGUUGCUAGUAAUCGCGAAUCAGAAUGUCGCGGUGAAUACGUUCCCGGGUCUUGUACACACCG